rnacentral:rRNA from 1 species
AUACGUAGGUGGCAAGCGUUGUCCGGAAUUAUUGGGCGUAAAGCGCAUGUAGGCGGUGCCUUAAGUCUGUCGUGAAACUGCGGGGCCUAACCCCGUAUGGCGAUGGAAACUGUGGCACUUGAGUGCAGGAGAGGAAAGGGGAACUCCCAGUGUAGCGGUGAAAUGCGUAGAUAUUGGGAAGAACACCGGUGGCGAAGGCGCCUUCCUGGACUGUGUCUGACGCUGAUAUGCGAAAGCCAGGGUAGCGAACGGGAUUAGAUCCCCCGGUAGUCCUGGCCGUAAACGAUGGGUACUAGGUGUGGGAGGUAUCGACCCCUUCCGUGCCGGAGUUAACGCAAUAAGUACCCCGCCUGGGGAGUACGGCCGCAAGGCUUAAACUCAAAUGAAUUGACGGGG